rnacentral:tRNA from 1 species
UACGGUUUAGUAUAUGAUGUACGAGAGUUUUUGAUACUCUGAGAGGCAGUUUGAUUCUGACAAUCGUAG